rnacentral:lncRNA from 1 species
CUGAUCAAACGUUCCAUGUACAAAUAUCGAAGUGAAUAGAAGGUUAUCCAACUCAUCGGAGAAAUAUUUUUAUAAGAUUGCAUACGGAAACAUCAUUGUUUACGUUUCUUCGUUCCCCGUUUUUAACAGUCUCUUCCUAAAUAUAACUCUACAUUUAAUUCAUGGAAUUUUAAUCGUAAUUUACCUUGUUUGCCUUGGAUUUACAUUCAUUUAAGAUUCUGUAUUGACAAAUGUUCAAACGAAAAUUGUACAGUGGAUGAAUUAUGGGAUAUUAAUGAAAAAAGUGUUGUAUAACUUAAAAAAACUAUAUACAUUUGCACCAUCUCGUCAAUUUAGCCAGACUUAUCCAUAACGAUUAUAAAUGAUAUCUGGGAGUCUGGAACUCAGAAAAAUAUACUCGAUCUGAACAUGAAUGAAACAUUUGCCCCUGGACGUUCGGCUACAAACAAAGUCAUGCAUUUUUCUUU